rnacentral:lncRNA from 1 species
AUUGAUAGAUAUACAAUAUUGCAUGCGGAUUCUCUCUGUUAGAUGUGACUCGAAAUCUACUAUCGAGAGUUUUCCUUCUCGUUUUUUUCCCUAGAGGCGUGUGAUCGUGGUUGGUUGUAAUCUGAAGAACAUUGUAUUCUCUUUUUCGUUUCAUAGUGAAGCUCUCUCCUUCCUCGUCCGUGAUUUUUUUUCCCUGCAAAGAAUUUUCCACAUAAAUCUGUGUUUCUUUAUUUUCUGUUUGUGGUUUGAUUGUUUUUUGUGUUCGUCAUUUCGUUUCUAUUUGUGCGUUUAUCAUAACACUCUCCAUACAGAAAAUUUGUGAAUUAAUAGAAU